rnacentral:lncRNA from 1 species
CAGUCUGAGAUACGGCUUUUCCUUUGCAACUCUGCCUAGAAGGCCAGCAUCCCGGAGUCGCCUCUUCACUGUUGACGUUGAGACUGGUGUUUUGCGGGUACUAUUUAAUGAAGCUGCCAGUUGAGGACUUGUGAGGCGUCUGUUUCUCAAACUAGACACUCUAAUGUACUUGUCCUCUUGUUCAGUUGUGCACCGGGGCCUCCCACUCCUCUUUCUAUUCUGGUUAGAGACAGUUUGCGCUGUUCUGUGAAGGGAGUAGUACACAGCGUUGUACGAGAUAUUCAGUUUCUUGGCAAUUUCUCACAUGGAAUAGCCUUCAUUUCUCAGAACGAGAAUAGGCUGACGAGUUUCAGAAGAAAGUCUGUAAUCGAACCUACAAAUGCUGAUGCUCCAGAUACUCAACUAGUCUAAAGAAGGCCCGUUUUAUUGCUUCUUUAAUUAGAACAACAGUUUUAAGCCGUAUCCAGCUACAAUAGUCAUUUACAACAUUAACGAUGUCUUCACUGUAUUUCUGAUCAAUUUGAUGUUAUUUUAAUAGUAAAAAAAAAAGAGCUUUUCUUUCAAAAACAAGGACAUUUCUAAGUGACCCCAAACUUUUGAACGGUAGUGUACAUGUUUUCUGCUGGUUAAGACAUCUCCACUACAGGACCUUGAUGAGUGUGCAUGAAGAGAAUUCUCUUGGUAGAUAAUGCGGUCGGCAUUUUGAUUGUAAGGAAUUCUAAGUCAGGUGAACAAAAGUACUUGAGUUCCGGUGUAAUCACAACAACAUACAGGAACUCAAGUCCUUUUAUUCACCUGACUUAGAAUUCCUUACGAUCAAAUGCCGACCGCAUUAUCUACCAAGAGAAUUCUCUUCGAUUAUAAUCACAGUCGUGUAUAUCCCCCCCUCCAAGCAGACACAUCGACGGCCCUGAAUGAACUUCAGCCUAUAGGCAGAAACUAAAACAGGAAGCGCCCGUGCUCAGGUCUGUUCAACACUGGUCCGACCUAAUCAGAUUUCACGCUUCAGGAUUGCUUCGAUCACGUGGACUGGGAUAUGUUCCGGAUAGCCUCAGACAACAACAUUUAUGUAUACGCUGACUCGGUGAGCGAGUUUAUUAGCAAGUGCAUCGGUGAUGUUGUACUCACUGUGACUAUUAAAACCUUCCCCAACCAGAAACUGUGGCUUGAUGGCAGCAUUCGUGCAAAACUGAAAGCGCGAACCGCUGCUUUUAAUCAGGGCAAGGUGACCGGAAACGUGACCGAAUACAAACAGUGUAGCUAUUCCCUCCGUAAGGCAAUCAAACAAGCUAAGCGUCAGUAUAGAGACAAAGUGGAGUCGCAAUUCAAUGACUCAGACACGAGAGGUAUGUGGCAGGGUCUACAGUCAAUCACGGACUACAAAAAGAAAACCAACCCCGUCGCGGACCCCGAUGUCUUGCUCGCAGACAAACUAAACAACUUCUUUGCUCGCUUUGAGGACAGUACAGUGCCACCCGACACGGCCCGCUACCAAAACCUGCGGGCUCUCCUUCCCGCUACCGCAGCCAACGUGAGUAAAACAUUUAAACGUGUUAAACCCUCGCAAGGCUGCCGGCCCAGACAGCAUCCCCGGCCGCGUCCUCAGAGCAUGCGCAGACCAGCUGGCUGGUGUGUUUACGGACAUAUUCAAUCAAUCCAUAUCGCAGUCUGCUGUUCCCACAUGCUUCAAGAGGGCCACCAUUGUUCCUGUUCCCAAGAAAGCUAAGGUAACUGAGCUAAAUGACUAUCGCCCCGUAGCACUCACUUCCGUCAUCAUGAAGUGCUUUGAGAGACUAGUCAAGGAUCAUAUCACCUCCACCCUACCUGAUACCCUAGACCCACUCCAAUUUGCUUACCGCCCCAAUAGGUCCACAGACGACGCAAUCGCCAUCACACUACACACUGCCCUAUCCCAUCUGGACAAGAGGAAUACCUAUGUAAGAAUGCUGUUCAUCGACUACAGCUCAGCAUUCAACACCAUAGUACCCUCCAAACUCGUCAUUAAGCUCGAGACCCUGGAUCUCGACCCCGCCCUGUGCAUCAUGGUCCUGGACUUCCUGACUGGCCGCCUCCAGGUGGUGAGGGUAGGAAACAACAUCUCCACCCCGCUGAUCCUCAACACUGGGGCCCCCACAAGGGUGCGUUCUCAGCCCUCUCCUGUACUCCCUGUUCACCCAUGACUGCGUGGCCAUGCACGCCUCCAACUCAAUCAUCAAGUUUGCAGACGACACUACAGUAGUAGGCUUGAUUACCAACAACGACGAGACGGCCUACACGGAGGAGGUGAGGGCCCUCAGAGUGUGGUGUCAGGAAAAUAACCUCACACUCAACGUCAACAAAACAAAGGAGAUGAUCGUGGACUUCAGGAAACAGCAGAGGGAGCACCCCCCUAUCCACAUCGACGGGACAACAGUGGAGAAGGUGGAAAGUUUUAAGUUCCUCGGCGUACACAUCACGGACAAACUGAAAUGGUCCACCCACACAGACAGUGUGGUGAAGAAGGCGCAACAGCGCCUCUUCAACCUCAGGAGGCUGAAGACAUUUGGCUUGUCACCAAAAACACUCACAAACUUUUACAGAUGCACAAUCGAGAGCAUCCUGUCGGGCUGUAUCACCGCCUGGUACGGCAACUGCUCCGCCCACAACCGUAAGGCUCUCCAGAGGGUGGUGCGGUCUGCACAACGCAUCACCGGGGGCAAACUACCUGCCCUUCAGGACACCUCCACCACCCGAUGUCACAGGAAGGCCAAAAUAUAAUCAAGGUCAUCAACCACCCGAGCCACUGCCUGUUCACCCUGCUAUCAUCCAGAAGGCGAGGUCAGUACAGGUGCAUCAAAGCUGGGACCGAGAGACUGAAAAACAGCUUCUAUCUCAAGGCCAUCAGACUGUUAAACAGCCAUCACUAACAUUGAGUGGCUGCUGCCAACAUACUGACUCAUCUCUAGCCACUUUAAUAAUUAAACAUUGGAUGUAAUAAAUGUAUCACUACCCACUUUAAACAAUGCCACUUUAUUUAAUGUUUUCAUACCCUACAUUACUCAUCUCAUACUGUACUCUAUACCAUCUACUGCAUCUUGCCUAUGCCGUUCGGCCAUCGCUCAUCCAUAUAUUUAUAUGUACAUAUUCUUAUUCAUUCCUUUACACUUGUGUGUAAAAGGUAGUUGUUGUGAAAUUGUUAGAUUACUUGUUAGAUAUUACUGCACGGUCGGAACUAGAAGCACAAGCAUUUCGCUACACUCGCAUUAACAUCUGCUAACCAUGUGUAUGUGACCAAUAAAAUUUGAUUUGAUUUGUAGAAUAGUGUCAUGUUUCUAAUGGCCAAGACAUCUCCACUACAGGACCUUGAUGAGUGUGGAUGUUGAAUAGUAUCAUGUUUAUUGUAGUGGCUGAAGGGUUCAGUUGUCUGUUUGUCCCUAAGGAGUCCAAAGUAGGUUAGGAGUUUCCUAGUCUUGGAGUAUAACCUUACACAUCUAUAAAUAUGCUAAUUCUAAGUUAGGAGUUUUCUAGUCUAGGAGUAUAAUAUAUAAAUAUCUAUAAAUAUGCUAAUUAUAAGUUAGGAGUUUC